AACGUAGGAGACAAACGUUAUCCGGAGUUACUGGGCGUAAAGGGCGUGUAGGCGGUUUGUUAAGUCUGGCGUGAAAGCUCUCGGCUAAACCGGGAGAGGUCGUUGGAUACUGGCAAACUAGAGGACGGUAGAGGCGUGUGGAAUUCCGGGUGUAGUGGUGAAAUGCGUAGAGAUCAGGAAGAACAUCGGUGGCGAAGGCGCUCUGCUGGACCAUAACUGACACUCAGGGACGAAAGCUAGGGGAGCGAAUGGG
rnacentral:rRNA from 1 species